UUUAUUAUACGACCGCAAAAAUUGAAAAUUUUUUGGUCGUAUAUUGGUAUGACGUUGGCGUCGUCGUCGUCGUCGUCGUCGUCGUCGUCCGGCGUCGUCCGAAGACACAUUGGUUUUCGCACUCUAACUUUAGUUCAAGUGAAUGGAUCUCCAUGAAAUUUUACAAUAAGGUUCAAUACCACGAAAGGAAGGUUGGGAUUGAUUUUGGGGGUUAUGGUACCAACAGUUAAGGAAUUAGGGGCCAAAAAGGGGCCAAAAAUAAGCAUUUUUGUAACUUCCAGACAAUAACUUGUGUGUAAGUGUAUGGAUCUCUCUGACAUUGUACCACAAGGUUCCAUAUCACAAAGGGAAGGCUGUAAUUGAUUUUGGGGGUAAUUGCCUGAAAAUUUUAGGAAUUAGGGGCCAAAAAAGGGGCAAAAAACAAGCAUUUUUCUAGUUUCAUGACAAUAACUUGUGUGUAAGUGUUUGGAUAUUUCUGAAAUUGUACUACAAGGUUCCAUAUCACAAAGGGAAAGCUGGAAUUGAGUUUGUGGGUAAUUGCCCGAAACGUUUAGGAAUAGGGGGCCAAAAAGGGGCCAAAAAUAAGCAUUUUUCUAGUUUCCAGACAAUAACUUGUGUUCAAGUGUAUGGAUCUCUCUGAAAUUGUACUGCAAGGUACCAUACCACAAAGGGAAGGCUGGGAUUGAGUUUGGGGGUGAUGAAUCAUAAGGGGGUUCAAAAAAUUUGGGGGGGGGGGAUUUUUUUUUUUUCUUUUUUUUUCUUUUUUUCCUUUUUUUUUCUUUUAAAAUUUUCCAUUUUAAGUUGGUUAUUUCUGAUUAAUAUUUAAAAGCAAAUAAUAAUGAUAUGGUAGGAGAUACACACCAAACAGGAUGUGUAAAUUAUUAUAUAAUAAGUAUUGUGCAAUAGCAAGAAAUUUUCAAUUGCACAGUAUUGCACAAUUGCAAGAAAUCUUCAAUUGCACAGUAUUGCGCAAUAGCAAGAAAUCUUCAAUUGCACAGUAUUGCGCAAUAGCAAGAAAUAUCCAAUAGCACAAUAUUGCGCAAUAGCAAGAAAUUGUCAAUUGUACAGUAUUGCACAAUAGCAAGAAAUAUUCAAUUGCACAGUAUUGUGCAAAAGAAGAUACUUCGUAUAAAUUGCUUAUUUCUUGAUCAAUUUCAAUGGGGUUUUAUUCUUGAAUUCUUGGGGUUCUUUAAUAUGCUGAAUCUAACCAAGUAUUAAGUUUUUGGAUUUUGGGCCCCGUUUUUAAAUUGGUCCACAUUGAGGUCCAAAGGGUCCAAAAUUAAACUUAGUUUGAUUUUAACAAAAAUUGAAUUCUUGGGGUUCUUUGAUAUGCUGAAUCUAAACAUGUGUUUAGAUUUUUGAUUAUGGGCCCAGUUUUCAAGUUGGUCCAAGUUGGGGUCCAAAAUUAAACUUUGUUUGAUUUCAAUAAAAAUUGAAUAUAUGGGGUUCUUUGAUAUGCUGAAUCUAAACAUGUAUUUAGAUUUUAGAUUUUUGGCCCAGUUUUCAAGUUUUUCCAAAUUGGGGUCCAAAAUUAAACUUUGUUUGAUUUCAACAAAAAUUGAAUAUAUGGGGUUCUUUGAUAUGCUGAAUCUUACCAUGUAUUUAGAUUUUUUAUUUUGUGGGCCCGCUAUCAAAUUGGUUCAUAUUGAGGUCAAAAGGGUCCAAAAUUAAACUUUGUUUGAUUUCAUCAAAAAUUGAAUUAUUGGGGUUCUUUGAUAUGCCAAAUCUAACCGUGUUUUUAGAUUUUUAAUUUUGGGUUCCGUUUUUUAAAUUGGUCUACAUUAAGGUCCAAAGGGUCCAAAAUUAAACUUAGUUUGAUUUUAACAAAAAUUGAAUUCUUGGGGUACUUUGAUAUGCUGAAUCUAAACAUGUGUUUAGAUUUUUGAUUAUGGGACCAGUUUUCAAGUUGGUCCAAGUUGGGGUCCAAAAUUAAACUUUUUUUUGUUUGAUUUCAACAAAAAUUGAAUAUAUGGGGUUCUUUGAUAUGCUGAAUCUAACCAUGUAUUUUGAUUUUGGGCAUUGGACCAUAAUAGGUAAAUUAAAAAAAUUGAAGUUCUUAGACCACAUUCUUUCUGUGUCAGAAACCUAUGCUGUGUCAAAUAUUUAAUCACAAUCCAAAUUCAGAGCUGUAUCAAGCUUGAAUGUUGUGUCCAUACUUGCCCCAACUGUUCAGGGUUCGACCUCUGCGGUCGUAUCAAGCUGCGCCCAGCGAAGCAUUUUAUUAA